rnacentral:rRNA from 1 species
AUGAACGCUAGCGGGAGGCCUAACACAUGCAAGCCGAGCGGUAGAGUUUCUUCGGAAACUUGAGAGCGGCGCACGGGUGCGUAACACGUGUGCAACCUACCUUUAUCUGGGGGAUAGCCUUUCGAAAGGAGGAUUAAUACCCCAUAAUAUAAUGAUUGGCAUCAAUUAUUAUUGAAAACUCCGGUGGAUAGAGAUGGGCACGCGCAAGAUUAGAUAGUUGGUGAGGUAACGGCUCACCAAGUCAAUGAUCUUUAGGGGUCCUGAGAGGGAGAUCCCCCACACUGGUACUGAGACACGGACCAGACUCCUACGGGAGGCAGCAGUGAGGAAUAUUGGACAAUGGGUGAGAGCCUGAUCCAGCCAUCCCGCGUGAAGGAUGACGGUCCUAUGGAUUGUAAACUUCUUUUGUACAGGGAUAAACCUACCCUCGUGAGGGUAGCUGAAGGUACUGUACGAAUAAGCACCGGCUAACUCCGUG